GAUGAACGCUCGCGGGAGGCCUAACACAUGCAAGCCGAGCGGUAUUUGUUCUUCGGAACAGAGAGAGCGGCGCACGGGUGCGGAACACGUGUGCAACCUGCCUUUAUCUGGGGGAUAGCCUUUCGAAAGGAAGAUUAAUACCCCAUAAUAUAUUGAGUGGCAUCAUUUGAUAUUGAAAACUCCGGUGGAUAGAGAUGGGCACGCGCAAGAUUAGAUAGUUGGUGAGGUAACGGCUCACCAAGUCAAUGAUCUUUAGGGGGCCUGAGAGGGUGAUCCCCCACACUGGUACUGAGACACGGACCAGACUCCUACGGGAGGCAGCAGUGAGGAAUAUUGGACAAGGGGUUAGCGCCUGAUCCAGCCAUCCCGCGUGAAGGACGACGGCCCUAUGGGUUGUAAACUUCUUUUGUAUAGGGAUAAACCUACUCUCGUGAGAGUAGCUGAAGGUACUAUACGAAUAAGCACCGGCUAACUCCGUG
rnacentral:rRNA from 1 species